rnacentral:lncRNA from 1 species
CCUACCUAAAAAAUUUCACUAGAAGAGAUUGUUUUAAUGCCCAAAUAUCUUCAAAUUGAUCAUCUUAACAUCAAGAUGCAUGGACAUGAGAAAAAAAUGGAUCACAAGUUUUGGAAACAGUAUAUUUUGUGAAGCAUUUUUGGACCAUCAAUUUUCAAGAUUUUCAAGUUUGCAUAGAUAUGUCGAUCUACACUAUUUUUGAAGCUUUAAAAUUUAUAAAUAAAUAUGAAAAUAUAUUUUAAGGCUAUCACAAAGAUUUCCAAUAUUGAAACCACAUUUUUUUGAUACUAUUUGAAGGCAGG